GCAAUUGUGGCCGAGUGGUUAAGGCGAUAGACUUGAAUUCUAUUCCUCUCUGAGGGCGUAGGUUCUAACCCUACCAACUGCG
rnacentral:tRNA from 1 species